rnacentral:rRNA from 1 species
UGGGGAAUAUUGGGCAAUGGGCGAAAGCCUGACCCAGCCACGCCGCGUGAGUGAUGAAGGCCUUCGGGUCGUAAAGCUCUGUGGGGAGGGACGAACAAGUUCUGGGCUAAUCACCAGGACCCUGACGGUACCUCCUUAGCAAGCACCGGCUAACCCUGUGCCAGCAGCCGCGGUAAUACAGGGGGUGCAAACGUUGCUCGGAAUUAUUGGGCGUAAAGCGCACGUAGGCGGUUUGUUAUGUCGGAUGUGAAAGCCCUUGGCUCAACUGAGGAAGUGCAUCCGAAACUGGCAAGCUAGAGUAUGUAAGAGGGUCGCGGAAUUCCCGGUGUAGAGGUGAAAUUCGUAGAUAUCGGGAGGAACACCGGUGGCGAAGGCGGCGACCUGGGACAAUACUGACGCUGAGGUGCGAAAGCGUGGGGAGCAAAC